rnacentral:lncRNA from 1 species
AAUUUAUUUAUCGUGUUUCAACCCAUUUUAGUCACUAUACUUCCUGAUGCUCUCCUGUCCCGCCUGUGGCCAGGGGGGUCCCUUCCCAUCAGCUGCGUGUCAUUGGACAAGAGUCAGGAUGGCCCAGUCUCACGUGGGUGCCCAACCCCGGCAGCCCAGGCCCCAAAGAAGGAAAAGGGCAAGAGUGGGCUGUGGCCCCGAGGGGACAAGCACACGUGAGAACCUCGUUUCCAGACAAAGCCCCGUGCUCCUGCAGGAGCUUGCGAGGGGCUCCUGCAACGCUCUUUUUUCUGGAGGUAAUAAUGCUUGCUCUCAGCCCCUCAAAGCUCCCCUCUCCCUUUUCAACCUGCUGUGACGGCCCCUGUCCUGUUUUCCUGGUUGUUACAGGGUUUUUGGCUCCAAGGGCUCCACAGCUUCCCAGCCCGGAUCCCAAGGCCCGCAAACCACCCUCAACACCUGCGCCAGACCGCACGCUCCAUGCUCCCUACUUCUGAGCUUCCGAAAUGUUUCUAAAAACCAAACAAAACCAGACACUGGCCCUGGUGCUGCCUCCUUGAUGCCAUCCUGAUGUGUCAAUUCACUCCUCCCGCAGGUGCCAUGGUUUCAGUCACAGGGGCGCCUACCCUCCUCCGCCACGUCCCCCCUACCUCCAGAUUCCCAUCACACUGUCAGCCUCCAAGUCCUGUCCCAGGGACCCUCCUCCGCAGCCAGCAGACUGGUGAGGACCUGCAUCCACUCCAUGCUGCUCUCAGAGGCUCCCUCUGCACUACCCAGCUGUGCUCAGCCUCCCGAGCCCAGGCCUCCACCUUGGGGAGGCCGGAGCCUCCUUGCCUCUCUGCCUCCCCAUGGACCUGCCCCUCUGCUUCCACUGGGGCCUCAGGAUGCUCCUUUCUGCUGCCUGUCCUGUGACCCCUGCCCCACAUAGCAAACUUUUCCACUUUUCUUUGUUAAAAUAAUUAAGCAUGAAUAUUAAGAACAUGUUUUUAUGUCAAGUGCGCUGUAAUGACAGUUGAUCGGGGGGGAAGGCUUAGCGCUCCUCUGAAUCCCAAGCUUCACAAACAUGGUCUCCCAGCACCACUGGGGACUGAGGACAGGCCUGGGAAGGAUCACCUUGGGUCCAGAACGUUCUCCCCGUCCGGCUCUUGCUGUCCCGAUGGCUUCUCCUGCUCUUUCCUGGUUCCUCAUCUUGAUGUUCCUUGUACCUCCC